rnacentral:rRNA from 1 species
UGGGGAAUCUUGGACAAUGGGGGCAACCCUGAUCCAGCCAUGCCGCGUGAGUGAUGAAGGCCUUAGGGUCGUAAAGCUCUUUCGCCUGUGAAGAUAAUGACGGUAGCAGGUAAAGAAACCCCGGCUAACUCCGUGCCAGCAGCCGCGGUAAUACGGAGGGGGUUAGCGUUGUUCGGAAUUACUGGGCGUAAAGCGCACGUAGGCGGACCAGAAAGUUGGGGGUGAAAUCCCGGGGCUCAACCCCGGAACUGCCUCCAAAACUAUUGGUCUAGAGUUCGAGAGAGGUGAGUGGAAUUCCAAGUGUAGAGGUGAAAUUCGUAGAUAUUUGGAGGAACACCAGUGGCGAAGGCGGCUCACUGGCUCGAUACUGACGCUGAGGUGCGAAAGUGUGGGGAGCAAACAGGAUUAGAUACCCUGGUAGUCCACACCGUAAAACGAUGAAUGCCAGUCGUCGGGGUAGCAUGCUAUUCGGUGACACACCUAACGGAUUAAGCAUUCCGCCUGGGGAGUACGGUCGCAAGAUUAAAACUC